AACGAACGUUGGCGGCAUGCCUAACACAUGCAAGUCGAACGAGACCUUCGGGUCUAGUGGCGCACGGGUGCGUAACGCGUGGGAACCUGCCCUUAGGUUCGGAAUAACUCCCCGAAAGGGGUGCUAAUACCGGAUAAUGUCUUCGGACCAAAGAUUUAUCGCCUUUGGAUGGGCCCGCGUUGGAUUAGCUAGUUGGUAGGGUAAAAGCCUACCAAGGCGACGAUCCAUAGCUGGUCUGAGAGGAUGAUCAGCCACACUGGGACUGAGACACGGCCCAGACUCCUACGGGAGGCAGCAGUGGGGAAUAUUGGACAAUGGGCGAAAGCCUGAUCCAGCAAUGCCGCGUGAGUGAUGAAGGCCUUAGGGUUGUAAAGCUCUUUUACCCGGGAUGAUAAUGACAGUACCGGGAGAAUAAGCGCCGGCUAACUCCGUG
rnacentral:rRNA from 1 species